rnacentral:rRNA from 1 species
AUUGAACGCUGGCGGCAUGCUUUACACAUGCAAGUCGAACGGCAGCACGGGGGCAACCCUGGUGGCGAGUGGCGAACGGGUGAGUAACACAUCGGAACGUGCCCAGUUGUGGGGGAUAACCUAUCGAAAGGUAGGCUAAUACCGCAUGAGCUCGUGAGAGGAAAGCGGGGGACUCGCAAGGGCCUCGCGCGACUGGAGCGGCCGAUGUCCGAUUAGCUAGUUGGUGAGGUAAAGGCUUACCAAGGCGACGAUCGGUAGCUGGUCUGAGAGGAUGAUCAGCCACACUGGGACUGAGACACGGCCCAGACUCCUACGGGUGGCAG